AUACGUAGGGGGCGAGCGUUGUCCGGAAUGAUUGGGCGUAAAGGGCGCGUAGGCGGCCCGGUAAGUCUGGAGUGAAAGUCCUGUUUUUAAGAUGGGAAUUGCUUUGGAUACUGUCGGGCUUGAGUGCAGGAGAGGUAAGUGGAAUUCCCAGUGUAGCGGUGAAAUGCGUUGAGAUUGGGAGGAACACCAGUGGCGAAGGCGGCUUACAGGACUGUACCUGACACUGAGCCGCGAAAGUGUGGGGAACAGACAGGAAGAGAUACCCUGGUAGUCCACACGGUAAACGAUGAAUGCAAGGUGUAGGGGGUAUCCACCCCUUCUGUGCCGCAGUCAACACAAUAAGGAUCCCGCCUGGGGAGCACGGCCUCAAGGUUGAAACUCAAAUGAAUUGACGGGG
rnacentral:rRNA from 1 species